rnacentral:lncRNA from 1 species
AGGGCUUGCGUGGUUCAAUUCCAAAGGACUUUCCUUACUUCCACGUUGAAUUUGGUCUAAAUAAGGGUUUCGUCCAUGUAAUUGAUGACGAAACACAGUUUAAAAGCAGCUUCGGACUAAACGUCAUAAGAGGCAUGCUUCGCCUUCCCGAGGAAGACAUGUACCGUCGUAGGAGGCAUGAAUCUGUGGAGGCACAAAAGCAAGCGGUUGCAACUUUCGCGCGGGACUGGGAACCGUUUGACUGGACUAAACAACUUAAAUAGAAAACUGUGCAGUGGCUCUAAAGCAAUUCAGGACUUCAGUUUUAACUUAAAUUGAUGAACUUGGCCAAUGGUCUUUUAUAGCCCGUUGGCAACACACAUGCAUAGGCUGGAGUUUAAGCAAUAUGUUAUAUUUAUAGUGAUGUACAUAGUUUUUUAUUUCUAGUGAUAUGUCAUCAAAUUUUUGUCGUGGGUAUAGUUAAUUUUUAUUUUUUCAUCAUGAAUUGAUAAUUUAAUAUCUAUAUAAACUUGUUAGAUGCAACUUCACUUGGGAUACAUAAUUAUGUACUUCAACCAUCUAAAUUCAGAAUUACGUGGUCCCUUAUUACGGUUACUGAAAAGACACAGAACCCUUGUCCUGCAAGUAAACCUCUGCGGGUAUUGUCUUAAGGAUUCCCUAAACCAUAUCCUAUUUGGAUUUGUAAUCCUUAAAAAUACUUAUAUAUAAAACAGAUUAUAAUUCCACUGCUGUAACUGACUUCCUGAGUCUGUUUUGGAUUAGGAAUCUUCUAAAAAAUCGCUAUGUACAAGAAGUAGAUCAACGCUUUGAUAAUUCAACUGCUGCAUCUGUUGGAUUGCGGGAUUCAUCAGAUGGAGAGGUCCUCAUCGUCGUUAGUUCUGUAUUUUCUUUUUUUUUUUCCUCUGUUUUUGCUGUUUUGAUAUUUGUCUUUCAGUAAUGAUGAAUAGAGAGUGGGAAAAAAUCAUGGAAUAUUUUUUUUUAAAUUUUUUGGUGAUAUUUCCAAAUUUCUUGUUUGUUUGUUCUCUUAAGUUACAGUUUUUUCCCCAGAUAAAUAAACAAACACGUUCAAUUCAAAAACAGUUUUUUUUUAAAGAUGAUUUGUUGAUUUAUUUAUUUAUUUUUAAGAUGCUCAACUCAACAUAAUCGAAAUAUAUUAAUCAGUUGCUAAGUAAUUGUUGAGGGAAUCCGGUGAUGAUAAUAUUAUUAUGGAGAGCCUCGGCCGCAUAGACCGGAUAUUGGAUUUGCCGGAACCAAUACUACAUCACAUUUUGUCAUUCUUGCCUUUAAAGCAAAUUAAUGGUUCGAAGCACAGAAUGUCCAAAAAGUUUACAAUUCGAGGGCCACUCCCAUUUCAAUGCGAGUUCAACUUAGCCUCAUGUAAGUUUCUCAAACACUUGACAUUUGCCCUUGCUCCUACAGAGGAUGAGUGUCUUUGCAACCAAAUUUCUAAAUUUCCGCUUCUUGACUUGAAGAGCAUUAACAUCUCUAGCCGCAGUAUUAAGAUGUUGAAGAUUUAUGAAUGUACGGGGUUGGUUGAAGUCAAGAUUGAAGCCCCCAAUGCCUUCUCUCAAGGUACUGCAUUUUUUGUACAUUUGUUUGAAUUCAAUACUUGAUCCAUGCAAUGGGGAUGCAAUGCAGUGCUGGUACUUCUACUCUGCUUUAUUAAUCAUUUGGUCUACAAUGGUCUUGUAAAAGGAUGUCGUACUCUAAUGUUUUUAAAAACUGAAUCAGCUUUCCAGAUUUAGAUUGUUGUCUUGUACACCAGGUGUAUGAGCCGUACAACAGAAGCCUUGUAUCAUUAUCUAAGCCUGCAGAUACGUGAAAUCCUUGGCCGGGAUUUUUGAAGUCUUAAUGCCUGUCAUCAGACGGAAAAUAUGCACGUACUGGGGGAACCAUUCGACUGGACAGAACAACUUGAAUAGGGAAAAAGAGCUGUACUCUAAAGCAAUUCAGGAUUUCAGCUUCAAGUGCCUUGCCAUUUUGAUCGGUGGUUGAUUAUGUAUCGAUGAUAAGAGGAGAAAGAACCGAAAAAAAUAAAUAAAAAUUCACAUUUUGAGUUGAAGUGUGACUGGAGUUGAUUCAAUUUCACUUUUUGAAGUGUUCAUUCAUUUUAGACAGAAUCAAUCACAUAUUUAUUUAACAGAUACUUGAACAACCAGAAUACUUGUUGUAGCCUUGUAGGUAUGCCUACACUUUUGAGCAAAAAGAUUUUGUAAUUUUUUUAACCACACGACACGGGCUUUAUUAUCUUUCAUUGUAAAUUUUGGAAGGUGAAUGGCAGGAACAUUAAAAAAAAAUAAAAAAAAAUUAAUUAAUUACUUAAAUAAAAAAAAAAAGCCUCAUGCGCACCACGUGUCCUGCCGUUACGAUAUUCCAUUUCAACGGCUCAGAUUACACGGAUGUUUGUUUAUAAAAUGUAACCGUUGGAUCAACAGUGAUCCAAAAAUGGAAAAGUGCUAGGGUUUUAAUCUUGAAGCCAAAAUAAGCAGCCUAUAAAUACGCCCAUGUCCAGAGACACAAUCGAACCUUUUCACUCUACUUUCCUUAACCACACGACACGGGCAAAUGCCAGGAACGUUAAAAAAAAAUAUAAUAAUAAAUAAAUAAUUAAUUAAUUAAAAAAAAAAGGGAAAUUUACAAAAAUAACCAUUAAUAUUUUAUUAUUUUCGUAAUUAACCCUCUCAACUUUUUUCUAUCAACAUUAGCCAAACACAAGCCUUUCUUCCCAAAUUACCCUUCUUUACAGAACAAAACCAACAUUGUUUCUCCCAUCUCGCCAAACCAAAAGCAGCUUUUCAUUCUUGAAUCAUAAGCCAACGGCGACCGCAAAAGACAACUGUAAAAGUGAUAUCCGAUCAUAAUCUAUCCAAAUUCAACACAAAUCGACGUCACUUACUGGUAUGAAUUAUUUUCUGAACUUACUGAACUGAGUCGGGUGAAUCUGAAUCUGGCGACAGGCUGCCUGUCGCACCAAACCUUGGUGCGACAGGUUGCAUGUCGCACCCACUCUUGGAGAUUUAUUAAAAUUGUAUUAUUUUAAUUAGGACUGAAAUAAAUUUUUUUUUUUAAUUUCAGGCUUAAUGGAUUCAGUUGUACUUGAAUUGUGUUACGAUGGUUGGUGGAUCUGAAUCUGGCGACAGGCUGCCUGUCGCACCAAACCUUGGUGCGACAGGUUGCAUGUCGCACCCACUCUUGGAGAUUUAUUAAAAUUGUAUUAUUUUAAUUAGGACUGAAAUAAAUUUUUUUUUUUAAUUUCAGGCUUAAUGGAUUCAGUUGUACUUGAAUUGUGUUACGAUGGUUGGUGGGAGACAUUAGAGAAUGGCUGUAUGGAGUACGUGAAUGGUAAAAAUCGAGCUUUUUUGGUUGGAAAAAAUUACCUGUUUGAUCAGUUAUUGACAAGAGUAUACGAGGUGUUAAAAAUAAAUCGUAAUGACUAUAGUAUCACAAUGAAGACAACUUUGAGGUCUAGUAACACAUUAUAUCGUAUAUGUGCAAUGCCCAUGGAUAUAUGUGAUGAUGAAAUGGUGAGGGUUGUGUUGCAUAUGGCAUCUGACGUAGCUAAUUUUGGAUGCAUUCCUAUAUUCGUGACCACAUCACCUCGAGUUCCGAGCGAAGGUAUUGAGCCACAUGUCGAUACAGAAACUUCGUUUAGAGCAAAUAUGUCUGGCCCCGAUAAUGAUGAAGAGGUGUUGCCAAGGACAAUAUCGCUGCAGCAAUAUUACUCUCCAAUCCACGACAAUUAUGACAACAUUGAUGAUAAUGGCGUUACGUUACAGGAUGUUGGAGCAACGGUAUUUCCAAUAACAACGUCGUUGGAGCAACAAUAUUCUCCGUAUCACAACAAUGAUUUUCGGGACAAUGAUGAUUUUCAUAAUGAGACAGAGGGGGAUAAUGUUUGUGCAGAACCUUCUAAUAAUACAAGGCGGGGCACUCGUUUCAAUAAUGAUGGUGAUGAUGGAGGAGCCGGUCCUUCGAAUGUUCCGUCGUUUCAGGAUGAGGAUGAGUGUGAAGACAAUACUCCUAUGAAUAACAGAGGCAAUAGACCUAUUCCUUCUAUGGUUCGAUCGAGAAGGAGAAUUGACCCCCUUACAAGUCUUGCUCCAACUUUACCUUCGAACAUGGUUGCUCCAAGCUUUGUUAGCAGUUGUGACUCAGAUGAUAUCAGCGUGGGUAAGCUAUUUGCUGAGAAGAAUGAGCUUAUAUUACAACUACGCAAGGUGGCCUUUAGAGAUAAGUUUGAUUUUAAGAUUGCACGGUCUACUACGACACGUUUCGAGGCUCACUGUUGUUCAGAAUCAUGUAAAUGGCGUAUUCGAGCAACUAGAAGUUCGAACGAGCAACAUGUUCCUUGGGUGGUGAAGAGAAUUGAUAAUGUACACACUUGUCAUAAUGAGGUAUUGGUUGAUGGACGUCAUCAACUAAGGAGCCGGGUUGUCGGUCAUAUUAUCGCAGAAAAAUAUAUUCAAGAUAAGAGGAUUUAUACUCCCAAUGACAUAAGAGCAGAUAUGCAACAGGAAUACGGUGUUCAGUUAACAUACCAGCAGGCAUAUAGGGCGAGAGAAGUUGGUCUUGAAAUAGUACGCGGCAACCCUGCAGAGUCAUACAACUUGCUCCCUAAAUACUCUCACGUACUAACUACAGCGAAUGAGGGUACAGUCACUCACCUCGAGCAGGAUGGAGAUGGUAAUUUCUUGUACUAUUUUGUAGCACUCGGAUCUUCCAUCAAGGGGUUUAUGCAGUACAUUCGGCCUGUCAUUGCUGUAGAUGGUACUCAUCUGAAGGGAUUAUAUCGUGGAAGCAUGUUCGUGGCAACAUGUCUUGAUGGUAACAAUCAAUUGUAUCCGUUAGCCAUUGGGAUCAUGGAUUCAGAAAAUAAUGAUGCUUGGGAAUGGUUUAUGAUGAAGUUACAUGGAGUGAUUGGUGAUAGACCUGAGUUGGUAAUUAUCUCUGAUCGAUGCACUGCCAUAAGGAGAGCCGUUCUUAAAGUAUUUCACAAUGCAACUCAUGGCGUUUGUUUUUACCACGUCAAAGGUAACAUUAAGUCAUAAUUUAGAAUGUCCAAAGCUCUUUGGGAUGAAUUUGAGCCUGCCUUUAUUAAUGCAGCAAAAGCAUAUGGCCACGAGGAAUUUAAGAGACAACUUGAAGGGUUGUGGAUGAUCCACUCGGGUGCGGCUGAUUACCUAGAAAAUAAUGUCGGUACGUGUAAUUGGGCAAGGUCUCAGUUUGAAGGUAGGAGGUACAGCAUUCUUACCACCAACAUCGCGGAGAGUGUUAAUGCUUUCAUGAGGGAACCUCGAAAAUUUCCUGUUACUCAUCUUGUUGAUCACUUCAGGAAAACAUUGCAGCAAUGGUUUUAUGAUAGAAAAAUUGUGGCUGAAUCCAUGACUACUCGGCUAACAACAUGGGCGGAUGAAAUAGUCACUGAGAGGAGAACUAUAGCUGAAAGAAUGAUAGUUCGGCCGGUGUCUCCGCAUCGCUUUCAAGUUAUAGGCGGUGGGCUUAAGGAAGGGUUGGUUGACUUGCAAAAGAGAACUUGCUCCUGCAGAGUGUUUCAGCUUGAUCAGCUUGUGUGUGCUCAUGCAAUUGCGGCGUGUCUAACACACCGGGUGGAUUUUAUUAACCUUUGCUCGGACUUUUACACUACAGAAUCGUUGGCGAUGGCUUAUGCACAACCAGUGGAGCCAGUUGGUGAUGUGGCUGAUUGGGAAGUUCCAGAUGAAAUUCAGGAGCUGCAGGUAUACCCACCAGUUGAGGCACCGCCACCUGGACGUCGUAAAGAGCGCAGAAUACCCUCGGCUGGCGAGGACGUUGACCGGCGAACUGUAAGAUGCGGCCGGUGUCAUGAACUUGGCCAUAAUCGUAAGCGAUGUAAGAAUCCUAUUGCAUCGACUCGAAGUUAGUUGUAUUUUGUGUGUUAUUCGUUGGUUAAAACUAUUAUUGUUUUUGUGUUACGUUGGUUAAAACUGUUAUUGUUUUUUGUAUUUCGUUGGUUAAAAUUGUUAUUAUUCAUAAAACUUUAUUUUAUUUUAAAGUUCAAAAUGUGAGGCAUUAAAAUUAUAUAAAAUUAAGUGCGGAAAUUAAAAAAAAUGUAAAUUUCAACAUUGAAAUUACUACAUAGGUCUACAAUAUAAUAUCGUCAUUAAAUAUAUCAACCGCAAUCUUCUUUCUAAAGUACUCGACAUGACUAGCGUUAAACUCCAACCUAAGCCCGAACAUUAAAUACAUCGUAACCAUCAAUACAAAAACACCGCAAUCGCCAGUUCCAGGCUCUUGUUGUGGCGCGCUCUUAACUGCGAUAACUUUCCACGGGUCUUCACUCCGCAACUCAGGUCGUAUAUUGUAGAAGCCAACAUAUUCCAACCAGCGAGGGAAUAUAACUUCAAGUGGCUUGAAUUUCAACUUGUACCUUUUGUCGUCGCGAAAUGUGAGUAAUGAGUCAUAAAUCAAGACUUUAUUUUUCCGAAAGUCAACUCGUGCUAGUACCCAAUGCGCGCCGUCCAAGUUAACAGGGAUGAGUAACUGCAUAUAAAAAUUAAAAAACAUGUUCGUUAUAUAUGAAAUUGAAAUACAACAAAGAAAAAACAACUCCUCGAAUAUUUUCAUUAUAGAACAUGUGAAAUGUAAUAAAAUACAUACCAUAUCGACAUCCGUCAUUGAUUUUGACAUUGUGUGCUGUCGCCCACACAGAUAACUAUUCAAGCGGUCGUCGAAUACCAUUGAAUCGACUGCACAAUUCCCGUUAUUCCAUAACUGAUUCAAGAACACCUAGUACAUAGAUAACCAAGAAAUGCAUAAAUUAAUUAAACUUAAAGGCAAUAAUUAAAGAAAUUAAAUAGUAUUUGUAAGUUUUGUCGGCACGUUACCCAAAAAAAUGUGUCCGUAUGUGUGACACGUUGGAGUAAGGCAUUUGGAUACUGCCGUUGUUUCUCGCUAAUCAAGCGGAGAUACUCGUGAAUAUGCUGUAGAGAAACAGAAAUAUUACGAUUUUAAAAAAAAAAUUAUACACAAAUACACAACAGUAUACACCACGAGGAAAAUAUAAAUACCUCAUCGCCUAGCCAUCCCAUCGAAGCUGUCCCCAAAAUUAUUUGAAAGAAUGACCGCGGGUGCUGGACGUUCCGGCGGACUCUGAUAUCACCAGUGAACCAUCGAUCAAACUCAGCAAACCAACUAGAGUCCUCCAAUCCUCUCAGCGGAUUUACAUCCACACUCGUACUCAUGUCAAUCGCAUGCUCCAUGAUUUGGGGUCGAGGUAACCUCCGGACGUUCUGUCCUCGCCUGACCGGAGGAAUCAUGUAAGGACUGUUAUAAACAUACGACGGUAUGUACGCGCGGCCGAACUUACUAACGCCCGGAGGCACCUCUGUGAACACCUGCACGCUCUCCCCACUAACAUCCCCGUAGAAACUAACCAAUGACGUGGGCGUAGACAAAUUUUCAUUGCCCACGUCAGUAUACACUCCAUAGUCAUCCGGGGCCUGUACAAUCGCCAAAAAGAACAUAUUAAAUAAUUAUCAAAUUAAAAGUUAAACGAACAUAAUUAUUUAAUAUAAAUUAGCUUACCGCAUACGAGCGUGCAGUGGGAGAAUCCUUAUUUGGACGUUUAGAAAAUGUGUCGAUGAAGCCAACAACGGUUUCUUUAAAAUCUUUUAAUUCUGACUUUAUUUCAUACACGUUACGAUCAAUCUUAUCCAGCCGUCGUCGUACGUAAUCAUUAAACUGCUUUGUCCUCGACUAAUACAAAAGAAAAAAAUAAAACUUUAGAAUAACAAUAAAAAAAUAAUAACAACCAAAGUGAAAAAUAUCGUAUAUUAUUUAUAACCUCAGAAUCCCGUGCGUCAUCAGAGUUGUCUGUUUGCUGCUGGUCAUCAACAGCCACCUCAUCCUCAAAAGUGUCAUGACGCUGCUCAAAAGUGUCAUGACGCUGCUCUGGUAUUGGGUUUGGUAUGUCGUCAUGAUCGUCAUGCUCGUCCGAUUGUCUUGUAACCGACGGCAUCGCGUUGAUUGAGGGUUGGUGCUGUAUAAAGUAUCAUUUAAAAUUACUAAAUGAAAAGUCAAAAAUUUCGAUAAAAAAAAUUUUUGUACUUACAGUAUACCGACCUUAUGAACCCAGUCUGGAAUGCUUGGCAAGUAAUCCUUCACAGAGAGCCAAUAUUUUCUGCUACUCUCCUUUGAAUUUGGCUCAAGAGUUUGUAAAACGUCCGUCUGCCAUAAAUUUAAUUGAAAAAUUUAAGUAAGUAAACCCAACUUAAAUUUAGUAAAGUUAAAAAAAUAAGUAAUACAUAUUACUUACAAGACGAGAUUCGUCGUUGAAGAACGAAUAAACCUCCGCAAAGUUGAUUCUCGAAGACGCCAUAGGCUUCCAUUGCAGAAUGCGGGGAAUCUUACUCUUCGUUUUGACGACCCAUGUUGAUGGUAACCCUCCGAUUGCUUCAUAAAUCCAAGCCUACAACAACCAAAGUGAAAAAUCAAAUAAAACAACUAUCAAAUAUUUAAUACUAUAAAACUUAUUAAUAAACAAAAAAAAGCACCUGCACCCCAGACGUAAAUCCGUAAAGAUUGUAUUUUUCAAUAUUAUGAUCUGGAUUUUUCAACCGAGUCUUCUUAAAUUUCUCGUCUUUUUCGAACAGUGCAUUGUCAAGACUCUCAUAAAUCAUUUCCCACGACAAUAGACCCCAUGGACGCUUUCGGAAGUACUGAAUAUCAUCAACUUGGUCAAGCCAAUCGAAAUUAAUUUGACAGUGAUUUUUUCUUGCAUUUAGUACUCUGUCCGCAAAAUAAAACAUCGCAAUCNNNNNNNNNNNNNNNNNNNNNNNNNNNNNNNNNNNNNNNNNNNNNNNNNNNNNNNNNNNNNNNNNNNNNNNNNNNNNNNNNNNNNNNNNNNNNNNNNNNNCUCGAAAUUCGACCAGGAAAGUGAUCAGCAUAACGAAAAUACAUCUUGCCUACUUCAAUAUCCGAUGAUUCUGAUUUCGCCAUGUAUCUGUAAUAUUUAUAAAAUUAUUAAAAAAUAAAAAAUUAACUCGUAAAAAAAAAACUCUAAUUUUUUGGUGCGACAGGCGCCUGUCGCUCCAAAAAACUCGUGCGACAGCGCCUGCUGUCGCACCAGAUUUGGUGCGACCGCAGGCCGCGCAUGGGCGCGCGCUGCUGCCCAGCGAUGGGCGCCGGCGCGCGCCCUGCCCCCCUCCCUCCCCACCCCCAAAAUUAAGCGCAAUCACUCCAAAAUCAAAAACAGUACUCCCAAACACCACCAACCACCACAAACAUCAUCACCACUAUUAUCAAUCUCAAGCUAUAACUAUUAUUAUUCUAAAAUCUCAUUUUAAAUUAAUGAAAAUAAGAAAAAUGACUAACCUAGGUUUUGUUGAAGGUUGUGGAUCGUAGAUCGGAUGCCGGUGAGAGAUGGAGCCGCCGCCGACGGGGUUGAUGUCGCCGUCGAUGAUGGGAGUUGGAUCGGUUUGGGAGAGAUGAGAGAAAGGGAGUGUUGGGGAAGAGAUGAGGGAGGGGUAUUUUGGACUCAAAUGUUGUUUAAUGGCUAAUGUUGAUAGAAAUAUUUUUGGGGGGUUAAGAUGAAAAAAAGCAAAGUUUUUUUGGUUAUUAGUGUAAAUUUCCCAAAAAAAAGCCUCAUGCACAUCGCGUGUCGUUCCGUUACGAAAUUCCAUUCCAACGUGUCGUGCCGUUACGAUUUUCCAUUCCAACGGCUCAGAUUACCAGGAUGUUUGUUUAUAAAAUGUAACCGUUGGAUCAACAGUGAUCCAAAAAUGGAAAAAGUGCUAGGGUUUUAACCUUUGCUAGGGUUUUAAUCUUGAAGCCCAAAUAAGCAGCCUAUAAAUAAGCCCAUGUCCAGAGACACAAACGGACCUUUUCGCUCUACUUUUUUUUUAUUUUGCUUUGGUUUGGUCUGUUUACAAAGUGAGAAAAUCACUUUCGUUGUUCGUUGUUAGAAAAAAAAAAUGAUCGAUUAUAUUUGUUUGGACAGAGAAAUCACGGUCAUGAGAUGAGUUUUCUAAUCUGUACUGUAAUCUGUAUACGGUGAUGGUGAAUAUUGACGACGGAUUCUCUUUCUACCGUGUUUCUCUGCCCAAUCAGAUAUAUUUGAUCUUCAUUCCAUUUCCAUUUCUGCCUGAGCCUUAUAUAUGUAUUGAUUAGUUAGUUCUUGAAAUCUCUUCCAGAUCCGUUCCAAAAACUUUUUAUUAGUUUUUUUCUGGUUUUCACUACUCUUCCAGAUCCGUUCUGGCUUUUAUUUUGGACCGACAGUUGAAAGCAAGGAUCGAAUCUAGUUUGGGCUGAACCGGUUAAAGAUUAUAUACACACACACAUAUACGUAUAUAUGCAUAUACUUUAAUACAGGCGCCUUUACUUUUUGUUUUUGUUUGAUAAAGACACUUUUAAAUCGUGCACACUUCUAAUUCGUGGAGUUUAAUAAACUAUUUUAAUGUUAUAAAAAUAUAAAAUUUUAUAAUAUGUUUAAAAAUAUUUUUAUUAAAGUGCAGGUUUAAAAUUUCACAAUUGCCCUGGAAUUAAAAAUUGAUAGUGGUUUGUAUUGAUUAGAGAUGGUAAAAUUUAAAUUUGGAUCCGGAUGUUGGUGCAUCCUGAUUGCGGUAGAUUUUUAGAUAUUUGGAUUCGUAUAAUAAUAAAUUUAAAUAUAAUAUUAAAUUUAAUAAUUUACUUAAUAAUAUCAAAUAAAAUUUAAUUAUAAUUUAACAAUCAAUAAGUCAACACUAUAAAUUUACAAACGAUAAUUUCACACAAGAUAAAUCAAACAUUAAAAAAAAAAAAAUCUAAGGUAAGCCAAUUUAUUAAAAUAUUCUUUAAUUAUUGUUAUUAUUUUUAUUUUUUAACAUAAUUUUCAUAGUUAUAGAGUUAAUUAUACUUAUACAUAUUAAAUAAAUAAUUUUAUUAAUAUAUUUUUCAAUUAAAAUUUAAUUGAAUAAAAUAAUACGGAUUCCGAUAUCCAAUUUCUCGGAAUGCACUUACAUCUAAAUUCAAAUUUCAAGGAUCUUGAUUUUAAGAUACGGAUUCAAAUCUUCUGAAUUUUUAUGGAUCCGUAGUUUAUUUCCAUCCUUAUUAUUGGUUAAUUGAACCUUCUUGGUUUGGUUAUAUGAAACAAACUUAUUAUAACGUGCCAAUAUAAAAAUCAGAACUGCUGUAUGAUAUUCAAAUAUUUCAAGAACUAGUACAGAAUGAAUCCAAAUGAUGUCAAGGCCGCCACCAAGGUGAAUGCAAAUGGAGGUUUAACGGGAGCAUCUGUUUCAAAUCCGGGUAUAUAUUACCAAUUCGGUCAUUGUUAGGCUAACUAGUUUAUCUUAUUAAUUUUUUUUCAAUCAAGAUUGUGUUGAGUUAAGCUACAAGCACCAAUACAAUUAAUUCUGAUUCCCUUUGUAAAUUAAAAUCUUUUCACCCUUUAUUAAUUAAAUCUUUCCUCCCCGUUAAUUCUUCUCCAAAUCACAUAAUGCAUGUUUGAAGCAUUAAUCGACUUAAUUAUUAAUUAAACUUUUGAUUUGCAAAUCUGCUGGUCCAUUUUGUUACCGAAAGGGAACCACUACCAAUGUUAUCUCUUUGAUGUGACAAUUCCCGUCGUUCAAUUCUCAGCCAGACUCUGAAGCAGUGCACUUUUGGCGACAUCUGAUCUGAAUGUGGGCUUGCUUUUAAUUGUAUGUGAUUGCAUUAAAAAUGGUAUGAAAUGACAUUUUCUUUUUUCCCCUCUUCCCAUUGGCUAUAAAAUGAAGUAAUCGUGAAAAUCCUUCCAUUUUCUCCUCAAAUUUUCCUUAAAUUUUCUUUUUGCCUUAAGAAAGCUAAUUACCAAAUGAAAAGAUGAGUAAAGGGAUUUGACUGAGGGAUUUUUGUCAAAUGCGAUGGAUGCAAGCCAAACAGACAUGUUUCGUUAGGCAAUAAGCAGGCGCUGCAAUUCAGUUUAUUUAAUUAUAACAAAAUUAUAUAAGAAUACACGACCAUUUGCUGCUGCAAUGAAAAGAGCCAGCCCUUUUAAGUUUUACCUUGCUUCGUAUGUUUUUAUUACUUGCGCUAAUAAGCCACCGAAAAAUCAAACGUCGGUGACCGGAGGAGGGGGGCAAAUCCCUCCCCCACCGGGAAUCAUACUGCAAGGAUUACCGCCAAUAGGUGGCACGGGAGCCCUCUGGAGGGUCGCAUGGCUAAUAAGGUUACGAAUAUGCGGCUUCGCAUGCAAUGGCCUCAAGGCUGAACCUAGUUGCAUUGUGCUGCUUGAAGCGAACAAAAUGAUGAACAUGAACAAAAUUGUGAAGAAGCGAAUGUUUGUUCUAUGGAACUCCAUUUUUUUUUUUUUUUUGAGUGAGUUUGAUGGAGAUGUCUUAUAUGCAAAUAUAAAGGCUUCAGGGCUUUGUCUCUCUUAUCUUUUACAACCAAGUCUGUUCUUGCAAAUAUAAAAAAUAAAACCUGUAACAUUUAACAAAAAGAUUCUAGAUUUUGUUGAUUAGCUUAUAAACUUUGGAAUAUGAUAUACUCGACCCUUCGACAGCUCAUUUAACAAAUCGAUAUACCAUUUUUAUUGCUGGAAGAAUGAAGUCAUAAAAGAUGCCUAUUUGUUGUUGAUUAUCUUUUCCAAAAUUAUCAUCCUCAAAUGAAUAAAAGAACAGCUCUCUGUCUUUAAAAAGAAUCAUGACUAUUAUAACAUGGAAAUGUAUAAAUAAAAAGUAAUGAUAAAAUCACAAUUACUUUGUGUAAGUAAUUGUAUACAAAUUGAUAUGAUAUGAGAAGAUUGGUUAUAUAAAAUUACCAUAAAUAAGUUCAUAUAAUUGAAAAAAAAUAACUGUUAGUAUUCUUCAGCUGAUCUUUUUAUACUAAAUUAUUUUGUAAACAUUAAUUUGCAUAAAAUAGGUUGAUAAAUUAAGGAUUAGAACUAUUAUGAUACUCAAAUAUAUAUGUCAAAAUUUAACACUAUUUUAGUAUGCAAAAGGAUAAAAGACACCCAAUUCAAGUGCCUCUCAUUCAAUCAUGUUAAUCAAAAGCAGCAAACGCAAACACACACUUCCCUCUCUAUUUAGAAACCCACCUCAAAGCCUUCACCAAAUGCAAAACCCAGUAACCAAAACACAAAACCAAUCUCUGUUUUGGGUCCAAACAAGUUGGAGUACCGUGUAAGGCACCACUGUAAACCAGGUGCAAUCAGUCCCAAAAAAGCCCAAGAAUAUUUUCGUCAACUGAUCCAAACCAAACCCAUUCCUAAUAUUGAUGCGUUCAAUCAUUUGUACGUUCAAUUUCCAAGCCUAAGCGUUAUGAUGUUGUGUUUUCAAUGUAUGAGGAAUUAUACAGUUGUGAAAUUCAGCCUGAGUUGUACACAUUUAAUAUUUUGAUCAAUUGUUUUUAUCAAACAGGGAAAAUAAAUUGUGAGUUUUGUGUACCGGGUGAGAUCAUAAAGAGGGGUUUUAAGCCUGAUUUAAUUACUAUGAGUACUCUGCUUGAGGCUCUGUGUUUGGAUGGUAAAUUUUUUGAUGCGGUUGAGUUGUUUGAUAAAUUGACUGAGUCAGGUUUUGAAGGUAAUGUUAAUGUCUAUGGGAUUCUCAUUAAUGGAUUAUGCAAGAUUCGCGAGAUUGAUUCUGCUAUUCAUUUGCAUGGGAGGAUGAUUUGUGAGACCAAUGUGGUUAUUUAUUGAUGGUCUUUGUAAAGAUGGGUCUGUUGAUGACGCAAUAAAAAUGAUCAAACAAAUUAUAGGAAAUGGUAUUUGCCCCGAUGUCAUUGUUUACAGUUCGUUGAUUAACAGGUUGUGUAGCUUUAAUAGAUUGAAGGAAGCUGUUGAGUAUUCUGAUAAAAUGGUUGCUCGAGGGAUUUCCGCUGAAUUAGUCAAUUACAACUCACUGAUUCAUGGUUUUUGUCGAAUGGGAUUUUGCAAGGAGGCAAAUAGAAUUUUUAAUCGAAUGUUGAGAAAAUUGGGAGGAGGGAAAAUUGUAACGUUCACAAUAUUGAUAGACUGCUUAUGCGAGGAGGGAAAAUUGGGAGAAGCAAGGAAGAUUUUCAGUUUGAUUAUUAAGCCCAGGAGGGAGCCUAACUUAUUUAACUUAUUAUUCACUCAUCAAUGGAUUAAGAAUCGGUUGGUCACCUGAUGCUGGAAAACUGUUAGAGUCGAUUGUAGAUGAAGGGACUUGAGCUCGAUGUUUUUACCUACAAUGUAAUGAUUAAUUGCUAUUGCAAGAGUUUGAAGACUGAAAAAGCUGUUAGCCUCUUUCAAGAAAUGCUUCAUAAGGGAUUGAAGCCUAAUAAAGUUGGUUACGACCUACUUAUAACAGAGCUUCGUCAAGUUGGGUGAGUAGCAGAAGCACAAAAGCUGUUCAAUGGGAUGCCUGCAGCUGAUCUAUCUCCGAAUUUAUUCACAUAUUCAGCUUUGAUAGAUGGGCUUUUCAAAAAUGGCCACGUUGAAGAGGCAAUUGCUCUGCUCCAGUCCCUUGAAAGGGACAAGAAAGAGCUAAAUAUUGAGGUUUACAGUGCAGUCAUUGAUGGGUUGUGUAGAGUGGGCAGAUUGGAAGCUAGAAAGAAGUUAGAUCAACUCUCAGAGAAAGAUUUGGUUCCUGAUGUUGUAACAUUUGACAUUCUGAUCAAUGGCAUCUGCAAGAAAGAGAUGAUAAUGGAGACUGAUAUGUUGCUUGUCCAAAUGGAAAAGUAGGGACGUUUUCCAGACUCUAUAUCAUUCAACACCAUUAUUCGGGUUUUCUUGUGAAAAAUGAAACUGAUAAAGCAAUGUAGCUUCUUGAACAAAAUGUGUAAUAGGAACUUCUCAUCAAAUGAACAGUUCACUCUAAUGCUGCUAUAACUCUAUUUUGUAGAUUCAAUGUCGUGCAACCAUUGAGUUCCAAAUGUUUUUCGGGGGAACUUUUCAACUGUAAAUUCUGUACAAUGAUAUGGUACAAAAUACGGAAAGAGAUACUAGUAAAUCGGUAACUUCACUUUUGUGUGAGAAUUGAGGUAAUAAAAACUUGUCCAUUUUUCCCCUAAAUGCAAUAGUAUUCAGAUUUGCACGUUCUAACAUUCUGUCGUAUUCAUGUUGUUGCAAUUGCAUAUUUGUUUUAUUACAUAUGAUACAGUCCUUUAAGAUGGUGUAUAUUUGCGGUUUCCCUUUUUCUACUUCGAUUUUGAGUGUGGGUGAAUGAUAAAUAAUAUCACAUUCAUAUAUUAUUGCUUUUAUUCUGGUGAAUUCUAUAUUUCUAAUGUGCCAAGAUUUUACCCAUGCUACUGCGUCCCCUUCACUUCUUCCUAUCAGCUUUGCUGCCCUCCUUUUGAGUUUUGUCUGCAAGAUUCUGAUUUCAGAAAGUUGUGUCAAACUGUCAGCCUACAGUGCCCGUUCUUUUGCCCUUGCAAACAAGGUAAAUGACUCAAUCCUAAGCUUGCCCAGGCAUCUUAAUAGUCUGACUGAUUCAACUAGUUGAAGUCAAUGCUUCACCGGAAUUAGAUAUUCCAAUUUUGAGCAUACAAUUUCACUUAAUCAUUGAAGACAAAGACAAGUGUUGGGCAAAUAUGUGCUGUCGGACUGCUUUCUAAGCACCAAGCUGGAUGCUACGGGGGUUGAAGUCCUUAUGGUGGGUAUCCUUAGUUGGAAUGAAGAAAAAUCUGUAUCCCUCCACAAAACUCAGCACAUUCAUUACAUGAUUUACAAUAUAAGUAAGAAAAAGGAAAGAUUGGUACUCACUCUCAAAUCUAUAUUUGUUUAUUUAGAUGCUAUUUGCGUGAAAUCCUCUUUCUACCACGAGCCCUACUAGCCGGAACACCUUUUGAAGUGCUUGUAAUAUCCUUUGCAGGUUCUUCCUCACUUUUGUCAUCAUCGCUCCCUUCAUCAAAACUCUCAGUUUUGUCUGUGGACUGUUCCUCUUGUUGCAAAUCCCCCAUGACUGCCUGUUUUGAAAGCUUGUCUCGAAGCUCUCUGAGUUUUGAUUUCUUUGAAUUCAACACACCUAGGAACUAGAAGCAGGAAAAAAAACUUGAAGUUAGUCCUAAAUACUAAAAGAAUAGAAAGUUGAUGCUCCUAAGAUCCUAUUCAUCCUUUAAUAACUAGCAUGCUCAGAGUUCAAAACAUCUUGAAAUUACAACUAUGACUAAAUGGGUAUUCUGGAAACAUCAAUUAUGGGAAAUCUAAACCAUACAUUUAAGAAUUCAGCAUUUAUACAAUUUCAUCAGUCAAAACUGAAUUGGAAAGAGGGGCUUCAUCAGAAACACCUGAUGUCCCUAUUUUCAAACGUUUUAUUCUUUUGGUCUCUGUCUUGGAUCUCCAGUUAAAGAGCAAUACUAUCAGUGUUAUUUAUUCACGCACCUUUGCAUAGAUUGCUGAUUCAAACUCCAGCUUCUCAUUCUUAAAUCUCUCACUUUGUGCUAAACACUUCUCAGCCUCCACUUUCAGUCUCUCAAAUGAUUGAGUUUUUGUGACAACUUCAUCCUAUAAGCGAAAGAGAUAAAACAUGAAGGUGUUAUAAGCUGACAGACAAAUUUCAUUACCAAACUAAUUGACAUAGGCAUUUCAUCUCCAUCUAUCUAUCCAAAGAAACAGCAAGAAUAAUAGAACAAAACGUUCAAUGUCAUUUACAGUCAAAAUUCAUACCACAUGUAUAUAGCUCGUUGGUACAGAAAAUUUUAUAAAGAAAAUGAAGUAUCCUGGCAGGACCAUUCCAUUUUGGAGUUAUAAAGAGUGAAGCCCAAGGAGCUUUAGAGCUUCUUCAAACUUGGCCAUCAAUACCGCAGCUGAUACAAACUUUUCCAGAAUAAGACAUAUUGCUACAAUCACUUUGCUAGAAGUAUAAAAUAAGAUUCCUCAAGUACCCAAAAUCCAAUUCAAACUCACAUAUUGUGUAUGUGAAAAAUGUCUCAGCUUAAUCCAUAAUGAAUCAAAAGCAUUAUAGAUGAUAUCAACAACCAGUAGGACAGAUGACACCCCAUGAAUCAGCAACUCAUCACUGAUAAGAAAGAAAGGUCGAAGUGAAUCAGCAUGUUUGAUUUACAUUCCAUGUAACCAACCACUACUCGCUCUUCCAACCUAAAGUCUGGACCACCUACAGAGAAAGUGAACUUCUAAAGAUAUAAAUGUCUAUCAUGGAAAUUAUAUUUAGCAUUGUCCUCAUGAAACAAAAUACAAAGAACCAAGUCAAUGUACAACCAUUGAUAGUUUUGAAUCAAACAUCAAGAGAAAUAAAUCCCUUCCAUUGAAUAUAAACGAACCCAGUAUGGACAGAUCCCAAGUCUUUUCUUUUACUGCCCUUCAAACAUUACUUACAACAUGCACCAAGUCAUUGAAAUCUAACGAACAUUACAAACACAUCUAAUAAAGUAAAAUUGUUUCAACUAACAAUCUUCAAAAUUUCAGCCAACAAAAAGGCAAAAGAAUCUUACACUGAGCCUAAUGUUUGCAUCCAUAAGAAAGUCCAAAAUCCCUGCAGUAACCUUCUUGCUAUUAGGUGCUGAUCCACAUUUCCACCGCCAUUCAAGCUUAGUCCCUUCCUUCUCAAAUGUCCAUGACAACUGCAAUACAUCACAAUCACAUACAUACCCACAAUUUUAAAUUUCACCUUUUUCCAAUUUCAAUUUCGAUAAAAUAAAUUAAAUUUUAAAAUAUAAUAACAAAAACUUACUCUUUUACAUCCAUCAGCAGCAUCAGUAAAACCGUAAACAGAACCAGGCUGCUGAAACCCUAAAUAGCGCUCAGCCAAUUUGACGUAUUCGGUCACCGGCUGGUCCCACAGCGCCGCCCUAUCUUUCACCUGCUCCUCAGACGCUGUCGAAAAGACGAAAACGCUGUUGCUUUGAGACACACCCAAAAAGAAAAAUGACAAAUUUAAAUUAAUAUUUGUUACAGGUUUUAAUUUAUAAUACCGUUGCAGAGCCAAGCGUUGAGACCGUCAGUGAUGGAGAGAUCGAAGUGGGUCUGAAACCACGUGCCUUUGACGAAAAUGGGAUCCGUGGCGUCGGGAAUCUCCAGCUUUAGACAUGUAUGGCUCGUCGCCUCCAUUUUUUCUGAGCUCCUUCCUCGAGAAGCCCCAAGUGCGAGUGCAGAAAUCUUCCCGCCUUUUCGAGUUGCGUGUUUUGGAAUUUGGACUUUUCGCACAUAUUUAUAUAGAUCCUAUAAAUAAAUAUUAGGAUAUGACCAGUUUGAAAGCCACGUGUAUCACCAAACGCACUAGCAUUAUAACAUAGUGGCAGCAGUAAGCUAAUCAUAGCGUUAUCAUCCACAAGAAGAAGCCCAGCCAAAAAAAAAUGUCUUUGAGGUUCUGCAACUCUCACUCACUGUAUCAUCUUCUUCUGGUUCUCGUAAUCUUCUGUUCCAUUUCUGCAAUCUACGCUAAAGCAAAUGAAGACCCAACAAUCAGAACUAUGGAGGCUUUCUCAGGGUACCCAAUUCAUGAAUCAAACUCAUUUGUUACAAACUUGGCUUCUUCACUCUCAGUUGAUACUGAAACUCUCCAAAAACGGGUACUGAGAAAAUCUAUAGCAUUAUGGACGAGUAAAAUAAUGUGGGUUUUUUAUUUUCUUAUUAAAAAAUAUAUAUAUUUUUAAUGCGUGUGGUUUUGGCUUCUUUUUGUUUUUUUUUUUUUUUUGGGCUAGAUCGAUGAACUGUCAACUUUCUCGGACACUCCUGCCCCAUCAGUUACUAGGGUCUUGUACACUGAGAAUGAUGUAUUGGCACGCAGGUAACUAUUUAAGAAGUUACAGUUCUUGUGCAUGUUCUAAUUGUCUGCAAAUCUUAAUAGAAAGUUACAGUUUUUAUAUUGUUUUUUCAUUAAUUAUUCGUAUAUCGAAUCCUUUAUAAUAUUUCAUCUGAUGGAGUUGUUUCUUGUAGUCCUUAAAGGUAAUCAUUUAUUUUACAACAUGAAUAGGCCUAUUUUACUGAGUUAUCAGUGUUUUUGAAUGAAUUAUUCAGGUUAGGCCUUGGAGAAUUCUAUAUGUGAUGCUUUAUCUGAUUGUUUGUCAAGAGAUAUUUGUUCCCUUUGUAUGCUUUAUCAGUGGCCCCCUCAUGUCUAGAAGGAUAUAUACAGGACAUUACUCUUGCUUCUAAUCCAGCAGCAGUUGUCUAAUAUUUCCGGCCAUUCUAAGUAGUUAUUAACUUACAAUGCUAUUUAAGCUCAUGUGUUGAGAACAUACUAUUAAAGCCUUACAGUAUAUAUUCAAUCAUAUUUGAAAAUUUUAUUAUGUGUAGAGGAUUAUCUAGUUAACUCUUUAUAUGCCAUUGCUUUCUGAAUUUUUUUUUUCCUCAAUUGCUCACCUAAAUUAAGGAUUUAUGCUGUCUGUUUGCAAUAUUUUAAUGCAGCUACAUCAAGAACUUGAUGGGGCUUUCAGGUCUCUCUGUUAGGGAGGAUGCAGUUGGUAACAUAUUUGGUAGAUGGUGAGAUUUCAUCUUCCUUCAGAGGAGUUUGGUUAUCAUGAAUUUUUUGCCAAACUCAUGCUCUCUAAAUGAACCCAAUUGAACUCAAGAUUACCCUAACCUGUGUUAGUUUGCAUGGAUGGAAGUUCUUGGUUUCAUUUAUUCUCACUUAGAGUUUCAGUUCCUGUAACUGUGUUCAGAUUGACAUGUCAUCAAAAUGGAAAAAGAAAAUCAUAUUAUGAGUAUAGAGUGUGGUGUACUGCAUUUUUUGAGAAAAUGCCAUAAUUCUCACAGCAACUUGAAGUGCACUCUCCAUAUGGUCUUGUGUUUUUCACAAAGGGUAAUCUAGUUGACAAUUGGUGUUCUCUUUUCCUGUCAUUUUCCAAAUUUUUGGCCUUUUUGUUAGAGUAGUGAAGUUUCUUUCAAGGAUGUCUGCAUUCGUUGAAGGGAUUUUUUUUUUUGUGGCAGUAAUAGUUUGGAGUAUCAAAGCUCACAAUACCACCUUUUUUCUUCAUUUCUCUGAGACAAAUGUUUCGCAAUUUCUGUUGUGUAUCCUCAAAUGUCUUUGACCAUGCCCCCACCCCUGUUUCCCUUAUGCAGGAUUGGCAAUGAAGCAGUGCUUGCUCCAGUUGCAACAGGUUCUCACAUUGAUGCCAUUCCGUACUCUGGGAAGUAUGAUGGUGUUGUUGGUGUGCUAGGUGCAAUAGAAGCCAUUAAUGUGCUAAAAAGGUAUUGGUUGAUUUUAUUGGUAGCGUCUGAUGAAUCUUAAAUAUGUGGUUAUAAAUUGCCAAUUAUGUUUGCUUUCUGGGUUGAUUAGCAUUCUAGAUUAGCACUGAAAAUUUCUCUUUUUGCAAAUUGAUGGCAAUAAGUUCAAUCAACAUACAUAACUUUAUUCAUGAAUGGAUAAACUUUUAGAUGUUGAGUGCCUUUAGUUAGAUCACCUGUGCUGUAGUCAGAUAAUGUCAAAAUUGAAUCAGGAGAUAUUCAGAUAUUCCUUGCUCAAGCUAUCAAAGAAGAGAUUUGAAACACUUAUCUCAAACUAUAUCCAAAGACACCCUCUUAAAGCCGUGUCUUGGAGAUACAGUUAUAAUAAACAUUGUUAUGUUCUCUCAGUUUUCCAGUCUAGGGUAUUGUUUAUGCUUUUGGUUUCCAGCUAAUAAGAUUGUUUUGAACUGAAUAGCAUGGAUGCAAUUUCUUUCUCAUCAUGUCAUAGUUUUUUUCAGAUAAAGGUAUUGUGUAGUAGCCACAGUUUUUGGUCUAUGCUAUGUUGACUGGGUCUUUAACAGAUCUGGAUUCAAGCCUAGAAGGUCACUGGAGGUUAUCAUGUUCACCUCAGAGGAGCCCACACGCUAUGGGAUCAGUUGUUUGGGAAGGUUAGCCACUUGUAAAUGGUUUAAACUUCAUAACUCAAUACAUGCACUUGGGUUUAUUUGGUUGCUUUCCUUUCUUAAUUUUUGUCCAUACAAAAAGAAGAAAAGAUACUUUUCCUCUGGAGUUUCCUUUUACUUACCUUUGCAAACUUUAUAGCAACCACUUCCACUGUACAUUAAACUUCAACAGGUUAUGUCUUGGCAUGGUGGAUGGUAUAUGGGUUUGGAAAUCUUAUACUAUAGUAUGAGUUCGUGUGUUUAUUUUUUUGUGCAGUCGCUUAUUGGCAGGAAUUGAGUCACUUGCAAAAGAUCUGACAUCAACAGUUGAUGGUCAAAAUAUAUCCUUUUUAGAUGCUGCAAGAUCUGCUGGAUACGCAAAAGAGCACAAUGACCUAUCCAGUGUGUUUUUGAAGAAAGGAAGUUACUCUGCUUUUGUUGAAUUGCAUAUAGAGCAGGGACCCAUUCUGGAGGAGGAAGGUUUGUCAUUUUUUACUGCUUAUUUUAUCCUUAUGAUCUCAAUUUAUUGAUGGUUAUUAAUCCACUUUAUACUUCAAAUCAGGUACAUCAAUUGGUAUAGUGACUGCGAUUGCAGCUCCUGCAAGUAUAAAAGUAGAUUUUGAAGGCAAUGGAGGGCAUGCGGGUGCUGUCUUGAUGCCGAAUAGGUAACUGCUGUCUGCCUGUAUGCAGUUAAAUUUACAUAUCUUUCAUCAAUUUGGUAUAUUCAUCAUUCUGAUUCUUUUAUUAUGCUUAUUCAGUCAACAAGAUUCACGACGUUUUACAUGUAAUGAGCAGGAACGAUGCCGGUCUGGCUGCUUCAGAACUAGCGCUAGCUGUCGAGAAACAUGUUCUAGAAUCUGGAUCCAUUGAUACCGUUGGUACAGUCGGUAAGUCAUCUUCCUGAAUGCCUAAACUUAGAAUUUUUUGGUACUUAUUGUUUAAAUCCAUCUUGCAUUAGAUUAUAUCUAACUUUGAGUUGGCUAUCUUUCUUUCUUAGAACUAUGAUGUGACUCAAUAUAUCCUGUUUCCUAAGGUAUUCUGGAGCUGCAUCCUGGUGCAAUCAACAGCAUACCAAGCAAGUCACACUUAGAAAUUGGUAUGGUUCCAAUCAGUUGUUGAAGUCUUAUUGGAAAACUGGCCAACAAUUUUAUAACAUAAAUACUUUGCAUGAGAUGAGUAUUAAGUUCCUGAAGUUUGUUUAAAAUCAUGUUAUUGGCAUUCUUCUUCUCCCAAAGUUUGAUUUAAUUCCAGUUGAUUUCUGAAGUUUUUCUUUGUUAUUUAUUGAGUUUUCUAUUAUCUGUGUUUCGGCAGACACACGAGACAUUGAUGAAAAGCGAAGAAAUAGUGUGAUUGAAAAAAUCCGUCAGUCUGCAAUUACAAUUGCUAAAAAUCGUGGGGUCACUCUAUCUGAAUUCAAAAUCGUAAAUCAGGAUCCACCAGCUCUUUCUGAGAAAUCAAUAAUUGAGGCAGUGGAAGCAGCGUCAAAAGAACUUAAUUUAACACAUAAGUUUAUGAUAAGCAGAGCUUACCAUGAUUCACUCUUUAUGGCCAGGUAUAGAUAGAGAGAAAGAGUUAAUAUUUGUACCUUGUCCAGUACCAUGCUAUAUGUCCCAUUAUUUUGGGCCCUCCAAGUGCCAUGUUUCUUAACAUGAAGAUUUUACUCCUUUUUCCCCCCUUUCUUUUCUUUGAAAGAGGAGGAAAAUGAUAAAAUCUAAUGAUGCAAGAUACCAAUAUGGGAAUUCAGGUGAAGAAAAUUUUCCAAGGUGAAAACUGGGAGUGGGUACUUUUUGGCAGCAAUUUACUGCUGAAAAUUCGCCGAAAUCCCCAUGAUUUGAGUGACUGGCACCCAAAUUUUCAAAAGUUUCACAUCCAAUCUGUUUCUUCCAACUCCCAAGCUUUUUCACAAACAAUACACAGCACCAAACUUGCACACAAAUGUGAAAUGUAUCCUUAUUUUUAGAUGCUUUACUAUGAAUUAGCUAUCUUAUUAUUACCGUUCACUUCACCUGCUUAAGGAUGUUUUAGAUGGUGAAUGCAUAUUUAAUCUUAUUGUUCUUCUUGCUAGCAACAUCUAAUUAUAGGUUCACAUCCUUGCAGGGUAUCGCCAAUGGGCAUGAUAUUCAUUCCAUGUUUCAAAGGUAUGAACGCAUUUCUUUUCUUCUGUAUCUAGAAAUCUAAACCCUUCAUCGCUGAUUAUUAAGUUGAAUGUUGAAAUAUUCGGAAUGACUAUAAUUAUCUAGUUGGAUUUCAUCAAUAAAAAUUUUUAGGUACUGCUUUGGUGCUGGUGCUUCUUUUGCUUUUGAAUUAUGUGCACAUGAAACAAAUCUUGUGUGGAAGUACACUAAAAUCACAUGAUGUGAAUUAGAAAAUGUACGCUUGUACAAGUAGUAGGGCACAUACCCAUUCUCGAAUGGUGUCAACUUAGUAGGGGACUUUAUCUAGUCAAAAUGAGGACGUCUAGCAUUUGUAAUCUAUCUAAUCAUCUUCUUAUUUUAUGAGGGAACUAGAGCAUAGAACCAGACUAAUGCUUGUUUUCAUACAUUUGAUUUUGCAGGUUAUAGCCACAAGCCUGAGGAAUAUGCCUCUGGCCAUGACAUGGAAAAUGGGGUAAAGGUAUUAGCAUUGACCCUUGCCAAGUUGUCCCUGCAAUGAUCACUGCUUGUAAUUCUUGUCAACCAACAACCUGCAAUGAUCACUGCUUGCAAUACUAGGUAUACAGGGUUAUACAUUCUCCUUUCUGUUACCCUUUGUGCAGUCAGGAGUUACUUUAUGCUUAUUUUUAGUAAAUGACUUGAUAUAGAGCUCCAACAUUGAUCCAUGACUUACGAGUUACUUAGACAUGAGACUGUAAAUUCAGAUAGUCUUGUAACAGUCUUGUUGACCAUGGGACAGUAGAUUCUGAUAGUCAUGUUGAAUAUCUCAUAUUUCUCUUGAUGAGGAAUCACAGUGAUGACGCCUUUAAUUUAGCUUAGAGCAGAGUUUUCUCAGAUGUUGUGAUAAUUGUGGACGAACAGAUGAUAAAUCUAGCACUCACCAGCACUUACAACAAUCCUCUUCUGUUUUCUGGUAAGAACUAGUAUCAUAAUCACUAACCUAAUAAUUGUCCUCCGAGUCAGAUCAACAGUUGAAACCGACCCAGCCCUGCCCCCAACCCCUCUCUUAUUUUGGUGGUGGUUGUUGAACACAUUUUUUGAAAUUACAACUCUAACGGUGAUGCUUGCAGCAUUAGCUGAUCUCAGGAUGCAGUCUAUUUGCGUAAAUUUUGUGUGUGCUGCAUAUGGGUGUUUGUGAGUGUCUGGCGCGUGAGAGGGAGUGUGAGAAGAGAACUUCAUAAAUCUGUUUAUCUGAUGUAAAAUGAAACAUGAAAGAGCAGGAGCAUAAGUGAUAAGUUUGAUUAUAUGAAAAGAGAAAAAUGGAAAUAUGCCCGGAAAACACCCAACGGCUUUAGAUGUAUUGGUAAUUUUAAAUCUAUGGGAAUACAGGUAAUCAAGGUUGUACAUCAGUUUGCGUAGGCCUUAAUUAUUUUGAGUAGCUAUUACUAGAGUUAUUAUUGUAUAGAAUGCCACGUGGCCUAUAUUUUUUUAAUUCUCAUUAAUUAUAUUAUUUUUCUUAAAAUUUUGCCCAAAAAUUAGCUUUCUUAAUAAUAUAAAGAAUCGCCAACAUUUGAAUCACAACUCAUCAUCCUAGAAACUUGUAAUCAAUAUCUAAUGGAUGAAUGUUAUAUCAGUUGGAAUUCAAAUUGAGAAUUAAAUGUUUGGACACCUAGUAUUGUUCUAAUUUUAUUUUAUCUUGAAGGUAAUUUGUAGUAUCAACUAUUUGAAAAUUCUUACAAGUGAAUGAAAAUAAAACUUUCAAUUAAAUUAAAAGCAGUGGUAGAUAUUUUAAGAUUUUAUCCUAAAUUUUGUAAAUAAUGUGUCAUUCAUUAGAGUAGAAUACGUGAAAUAAUGAUAUAAUUUAAAAGAAAAAAAGACCGUAAAAUAAUAUAACUAAUUCAGUUGAAAUUUAUGAAAAAAUAAUUGAUUAAUGAAUGACGUAUCAUUUAAGAUAAAAAUAUAUGAUUGUAAAAUUACGAGGUGCAGCUAUAAUCAUCGGCACUCUUUUCUCCUUAUUAGUUACAUUUUUUUUUUCUUGGAUAACAACUUUUUAAACCGUAUAUUCAAUUUAUAUUUUCUUACUACGUAUGUAGGAAAACUUGUUAAAUAUAACAGAAACAGUGUGCUUAUCUAGGAACAACUUAUUACGAAAUGCCAAGGCAGGAGACUAUAUGUAAUUCUUUCCAACGAAAGUUUUGUGUGUUUCCUAAUAAUUGAGUAAUAAUUAGGGUAAGUGAAGACUCUACCUAAUACCAAUACGAUACGGUAAAUCCUCUGUAAGCUAAUAAUGUCGUUAUCAUAUAAAAUUUAUUAAUUUAAAGAAGAAUUAAUUAAUUGUCGACUUAUUGAGUGUUUAUACAAUUCAAUGAAACAUAUAUGCAAGGGAUUUCAAAACAACUAUCAUCAUAUUAAUUUAACCAAUUAGCCCAAGUUGGGACUAUAAAUAAUUGCUAUGUAAUAGAGAUUAUUGAUUUUUAGAGAUUAUAUUUUACCGAGUGGUUUUUUGGAGCAUGUAAAAGAGGUACAGUUUUCUUAUCACUAGAAUAUUGCGGCACUUCAAUGUUCCAUUCUCACCAAGCCUAUUUAUACUGAAGUCAGGAAACUAGAUUGGGAAAUUAUAUCUGGCAUUGGAUUUCAUAGAAGUCGUGGGGAAUGGGUUAAGACUCCGUCAUCUAAGAAUGAGGACACUUUGGUAGCUCCGAAGGAUAACCGAUUGCUUAACGAUAUUUAUUCUGAGGAUGAGUUACCCAAUUUUCGACAUGGCACUAGACCUCGUGCACCUCGCCGAGCUGCAGCAGCACAAUCUCCGGCUGAGGAGCCAGCAGAGUCAAUUGAGCACCCUAAGGCACCUUUAGUUUUUUAGGACCACAUGCAGUAGCUAUUCGACAAAGUGGAUACCCUCUCUCAGCAACAACAGCAGCUUCAAUCCCAAAUUUAGACAUUUUAGCAGCAGAUUCUAGACCAGCAACAUGAGCUUCUCAAGGUAUGGCUUGUCAAUUAGUUAAGAGUAAAUUUGAUUUACCUACUCGCUAAAGAAAAAGCUUAAAUGUUUAGGGAAUCUAAAUGAAAUGUAAUAGGGAAGAAAAAAAAAUAAAGAUGUUAAUGGUCCAUUUACCGAUCGAUAAUCGGAAUAGAUUAGAAUUAAAAUAGAUUUAAAUUGAAAUGGAUUAAAAUUAGAAUGGGACAUAAAGUGUUAUAUUUUAUAAACUUUUGAUAUUUGACUUUCUUCCAAUAAAGAACUCAAAUAAAAAAAUAAUCACUUUGGUAAACAUGGUGCACCCAUAUUAAUUAUUUACUAAAUGAAUAUUAUUAAUUAACAAUUAAUAUCCUCUUUGGUAAUCUUACAAAUAGUUUUGUGAUGCUCAAGUAGUUCAAUUAAAGUCUCAUGAACUUCAUGUAGGGAGGAAUAAAGGAAGUAUUAUAUAAAGUGGAGGCAAAGAAUCUCUAUAUAUAUUAUUUAAUUGUUGGAUGGUUAAGGUAUGACUUGUCAAUUAGUUAAAAGUAAAUUUGAUUAUCUACUCGCUAGAGAAAAAGAUUAAAUGUUUAGGGAAUCUAAAUGAAAUGUAAUAGGGAAGAAUAAAAAAUGAAGAUGUUAAUGGUCCAUUUACCGAUUGAUAAUCGGAAUGAGUACGAAUUAAAAUAUAUUUGAACUGGAAUAGGUUGAAAUUAGAAUGGGGCAUAAAGUGUUAUACUUUAUAAACUUUUAAUAUUUGACUUUCUUCCUGUAGAGAAUUCAAAUAUAAAAAUAAUCCCUUUGGUAAAAAUGGUGCACCCAUAUUAAUGUUUACCUAAUGAAUAUUAUUAAUUAGCAAUUACUGCCCUCUUUAGUAAUCUUACGAAUAGUUUUGUGAUGCUCAAGUAGUUCGAUUAAAGGUUCACGAGCUUCAUGUAGGGAGGAAUAAAGGAAGUAUUAUAUAAAAUAGAGGCAAAGAAUCUCUAUAUAUAUUAUUUAAUGGUUGGAUGGUCAAGGUAUGGCUUGUCAAUUGGUUAAGGGUAAAUUUGAUUCUAUACUAGCUAAAGAAAAAGCUUAAAUGUUUAGGGAAUCUGAAUGAAAUGUAAUAGAGAAGAAUAAAAAAUGAAAAUGUUAGUAGUCCAUUUACCGAUCGAUAAUCGGAAUGGGUUGGAAUUAAAAUAGAUUUGAAUCGAAAUGGGUUGAAAUUAGAAUGGGGCAUAAGUUGUUAUAUUUUACAAACUUUUGAUAUUUGACUUUCUUCCUAUAAAGAACUCAAAUAAAAAAAUAAUCCCUUUGGUAAAAAUGGUGCACCCAUAUUAUUAUUAAUUAAAUGAAUAUUAUUAAUUAACAAUUAACGUCCUCUUUAGUAAUCAUACGAAUAGUUUUGUGAUGCUCUAGUAGGUCAAUUAAAGGUUCACGAACUUCAUAUGGGGAGGAAUAAAGGAAUUAUUAUAUAAAAUAGAGGUAAAGAAUCUCUAUAUAUAUUAUUUAAUGGUUGGAUGGUCAAGGUAUGGUUUGUCAAUUGGUUAAGAGUAAAUUUGAUUCUCUACUCCCUAAAGAAAAAGCUUAAAUGUUUAGGGAAUCGGAAUGAAAUGUAAUAGGGAAGAAUAAAAAACGAAGGUUUUAAUGGUCCAUUUAUCGAUCGAUAAUCGAAAUGUAUUGGAAUUGAACUAGAUUUUAAUUGGAAUGGAUUGAAUAAGAUUGAGACAUAAGAAUCAGAAUAGAUUAUUUGCUCUAGUUAUACGAAUUGACAUUAGAAUGAGCUGUAUGACCAUUUAUGUUUUUGUUUUAUCUUGAAAUCAGAAUGAAUUGUUAUAAGUUACUAGAAUUAUUUUAAAUGAUUAUUGUUAUUGUUUACUAUAAUAAUAAUAAUAAUAAUAAUAAUAAUAAUAAUAAUAAUAAUAAUAAUAAUAAUAAUAUUGUUAUUGUUGUUGUUGUUGUUGUUAAUAAAUGGGAUCAAAUGAAUUUUUUAAGAUAUCUUAAUAUUUUAUCUUAAAUUUUGUAAAUAAUGUGUCAUUCAUCAUAAUAGAGCACGUGAAAUAAUGAUAUAAUUUAAAAGAAAAAAGUGACCGUAAAAUAAUAUAACUAAUUCAGUUGAAAUUUAUGAAAAAAAUAAUUGAUUAAUAAAUGACAUAUCAUUUAAGAUAAAAUUUAAGAUAAAAAUAUAUGCUUAUAAAAUUACAAGGUAUAAUCAUCAGCACUCUUUUCUCGUUAUUAGUUACAUUUUUUUUCUUUGAUAACAACUUUUUUAACCGUAUAUUCAAUUUAUAUUUUCUUACUACGUAUGUAGGAAAACUUGUUAAAUAUAACAGUAACAGUGUGCUUAUCUAGGAACAACUUAUUACGAAAUGCCAAGGCAGGAGACUAUAUGUAAUUCUUUCCAACAAAAGUUUUGUGUGUUUCCUAAUAAUUAAGUAAUAAUUAGGGUAAGUGAAGACUCUACCUAAUGCCAAUACGGUACGGUAAAUCCUCUGUAAGUUAAUAAUGUCGUUAUCAUAUAAAAUUUAUUAAUUUAAAGAAGAAUUAAUUAAUUAUCGACUUAUUGAGAUUUGAGUGUUUAUACAAUUCACUGAAACAUAUAUGCAAGGGAUUUCAAAACAACUAUUAUCAUAUUAAUUUAACCUAUUAGCCCAAGUUGGGACUAUAAAUAAUUGUUAUGUAAUAGAGAUUAUUAAUUUAUCAAAUAUUAAUUUUUAGAGAUUAUAUGUUACCGAGGGGUUUUUUGGAGCAUGUAAAAGAGGUACAGUUUUCUUAAGCUCUUAAAUGGAACAGGCCUAUGCUAGUUGAAUGAUUUUCAAACAUAUUUAGCCGAUCAUCCAAAUCCAGAUCUUUUAAGAAAUAAAGAAAUUAAAAAAAUUGUGGAAGAUAUUAAAUCUAGCAGAUCCUCAACAAUCUGCUUUAGGCACAAGCAAUAUGUGUGUACAUUAGGACAAUUUCAACUAUCAACUAAUGAAGCUUGGUCGUAUGAAUUUAAUGGUAAGGGGUUAAUGAAACAAAACUAAUGAAGUAAAUUGGACUCUGGACAUGCUCUCUAAGCCAUGUAUGGAACAGUAUAUUUUGCUCAAAUUGUACUCUUUCAACGAAAAUGCCUAUGCAUUUUUUAGUAAAUAUGGUCUACCCCUUUUCAUUUAGAUAAUGGACAGUCCGACGAGUCCUUAAUUAAUUCUUUAAUCAGCAAAACUUUAGAAAGAAAAAGAUGAAACAAUGGCGACAAAAAUAAGAAUAAAAAUGGUACAAUGUUACAAUGUUAAUAAAAAAAUAAUACUAAUUUUAUAAUUUUUUUAUCAUUAAUAUGUCAGAACAGCUGAUCAGUAUAAUCAACACAUAUUUAGAAAAUUACUAUUUAAUUUACUCGAUGAUGAUGAAGUUUCUUGUAGGAUUGGACCCGUAUCACCGUAUGUGCAUGUAACCCAUCUUCAUGUAUAAAUUGGUAGCACUUAGCAGCCUGUAGCCGUCUCUGAUCUCCAUUUCGGAAGGGGAGAAAAAAAUAGGGAUGGCAACAUUCUCCACGGAUCCCUGAGCCAGCGGACUCCCGAUGAAUUUGGGUCGGCUGUGGGUCCUAAAAUGUCUAAAAAAUGAAAUUAGGGCUAUUUCGGGAAUAGGCUUAAGAGCUAAUAAAAUUUUAGGUUCGGGUUUGGGGAUUUUUAUUUUUAAUUAAAUAAAAAUUUUGAAAUAGAAUACAAAAAAUUCUAAAAUAUAAUUAAUUUGUUUUGUUAAAUUAGUUCCAAAUUUUGGUUAAGCUUUUUCAUAUUGAGGUUCAUAUGUUUCAAAUUAUUAGUCCACUAGUUUUGUGUUAGGUAUUUCUACUAAGUUCGUUCAAUACCAAUAUUUUGGGUUAGAUUCCAAGUAAUUUUCAUUUCCCAUUGGAUGAGUUCCUAAUUUUUGUUGGAUUUUCUCGUUUAUUGGUUCAAAUGUUUCAUCUAAUUAUUCCUCUAGUUUUGUGUUGAAUAUUCCCAUUAACUUGGACAGAUUCCAAUUAUUUGGGUUAAGUAUCGAAUUUGUUUUUCGUAAUUUUAUUUUCUCCCUUGUGGGGUCAUGUGUUUCAAUUAUAAUUUCACUAGUUUUGUGUUCAAUAUUCCAAUUAACUUGGUAGGAUUUCAUUUAUUUAGGUUAAAUACCGAAAUAAUUUUUUUUGUUAAAUUAGUUCCCAAUUUUGGUUAAACUUUUUCAUAUUUAGGUUCACAUGUUUCAAAUUAUUAGUCCACUAGUUUUUCGUUAGGUAUUCCUACUAAGUUCGUUCAAUACCAAUAUUUUGGGUUAGAUUCCAAGUAAUUUUCAUUUUCCGUUGGAUGAAUUCCUAAUUUUCGUUAGAUUUUCUCUCUUAUUGGUUCAAUCUUUCAUCUAAUUAUUCCUGUAGUUUUGCGUUGAAUAUUCCCAUUAACUUGGAUAGAUUUCAAUUAUUUGGGUUAAGUACCGAAUUUGUUUUUCGUAAUUUUAUUUUCUCCUUUGUGGGGUUAUGUGUUUCAAUUAUAAUUUUACUAGUUUUGUGUUCAAUAUUCCAAUUAACUUGGUAGGAUUUCAUUUAUUUGGGUUAAAUACCGAAAUAAUUUUUUUUGUUAAAUUAGUUCCCAAUUUUGGUUAAACUUUUUCAUAUUUAGGUUCACAUGUUUCAAAUUAUUAGUCCACUAGUUUUGUGUUAGGUAUUCCUACUAAGUUCGUUCAAUAUCAAUAUUUUGGGUUUGAUUCUAAGUAAUUUUCAUUUUCCGUUGGAUGAGUUCAUAAUUUUCGUUAGAUUUUCUCUCUUAUUGGUUCAAAUAUUUCAUCUAAUUAUUCAUGUAGUUUUGCGUUGAAUAUUCCCAUUAACUUGAAAGAUUUCAAUUAUUUGGGUUAAGUACCAAAUUUAUUUUUUGUAAUUUUAUUUUUGGUUAAAUAAGUCCCUAAUUUUGGUUAUAUUUUCUCCCUUGUGGGGUUAUAUGUUUCAAUUAUAAUUUCACUAGUUUUGUGUUCAAUAUUCUAAUUAACUUGGUAAGAUUUUAUUUAUUUGGGUUAAAUACCGAAAUAAUUUUUUUUUGUUAAAUUAGUUCCUAAUUUUGGUUAAACUUUUUCAUAUUUAGAUUCACAUAUUUUAAAUUAUUAGUCUACUAGUUUUGUGUUAGGUAUUCCUACUAAGUUCGUUUAAUGCCAAUAUUUUGGGUUUGAUUCCAAGUAAUUUCAUUUCCCGUUAGAUGAGUUCUUAAUUUUCGUUAGAUUUUCUCGCUUAUUGGCUCAAAUGUUUCAUCUAAUGAUUCCUCUAAUUUUGUGUUGAAUAUUCCCGUUAACUUGGACAAAUUCUAAUUAUUUGGGUUAUGUACCGAAUUUAUUUUUCGUAACUUUAUUUUUGGUUAAGUAGGUUCCUAAUUUGAGUUAUAUUUUCUCACAUUUACUUUUAUAUGUUUCAACUAUUAUUUUCACUAGUUUUGCGUUCAAUAUUCCAAUUAAUUUGGUGAAAUUUCAGUUAUUUAUGUUAAAUAUCAAAAUUACUUGUAUUACCAGAACCAAUAAUUUUAAUAAGUUGAAUUAUGUUUGAACCCUUACUAUUUUAUGAAAUAUCAACGUACGAUAUAAUAUUGAAAAAAUUUUAUUGUAACACUUAAUCUUUUCCAAUGUUUUGGGUCCAUAGCCUAAUUCCCUUUUAUAUAUAUCAUGAGAUCUCUUGAACUUGAUUGUAUAUAUACUUGAGCUUUUAAUCUCUAUACGUAUUUAUUCUCAUUUUAUUAUUUUAGUUGAUUAUUUUUAGUUAUUGUUAAAAUAAAUUAAUUCAUUUAUUUUCAUCUCUCUCUUUACUUUUUAAAAUAAUUUCUUUAAUUUUUCAAAACUUCGACAGUAAAUAAAAAAAUAACAUGUAAGAGUGCAUGCAAUUGCUAUGCUUCUCCAAAAAAUUAUUUUUAAAAAUUAUGAUGGCAUAAGUUAUAAAAAAAUAUUUAAGCUAACAAAAAUUGAAACUUUCUUAAUCUAUUUGUGUUAUAUUUUCUUCUUUUUUUUUUUGGGAUCAAUUGACUUCAGGAGAUUUCUUGAACUUGAAUUUAUUUAUACUUAACUUUUGAUCUUUAUAAAUGUUAUGCCCAUUUUAUAAUUCAAUUAAUUUUAUUUAUUUAUCUUUAAACUAAAAUAAAUCAAGGAUUAAGAUUUUUUGAAUUCAAAUUAAAUUUUUACCACUAUGUUUUCUUUUCAAAUUAGUUUUCUUAAUUUCUUAUUACUUUAACCAAAAUUUUAUCACUUGUAUUAUAAAUAUUAUACUUGUAUUAAUAUAUUAAUAUAUUAUACUUGUAUUAUUAAUUAUAAUCCCUAUAUUAUAAAUAUUAUAAAUAUUUAUAAUAUUUAUUAUAAAUAUUAAUUAUUAUUUUUAUUAAUUAUAAAUAUUAAUAUAUUAUACUUGUAUUAUUAUCACUAUUAUUAUUAUUUUUUACUCUUACUAAAAUUAUUAUUAUUACUAUCUUGCCCCAUGAGAUUUGUUAACAAUUUUUUUUUAAUAAUGAGUAUCCUUCUUUUUUGUUUUUAAGUAUGGAUAUAAUUUUUAAUUUAUAAAAUAAGUUCUUAAAUUUUCAAGACUUAACUAAAAUAAUUUUUAAGAGUUUAUUAUGGCUAAUAUGGUUAUGAAAAUUUAUUACUAUAGUAGCAACACUUUAUACCAUACCAUUUCAUAUUUAUUACAACACCAAAAUUAUUUUAUUUAUUUUAUAAUUAUCCUAUGAACUGUGAAAAUUAACUUUUAUAUUAAAAUGAAAAAUUUGUAAAUUAGUAUUACAUUGAUCCAAUUCUACUAAGCCACAAUUUAUUUAUCUUUAAUGAAUGCUUUAAACACAGUAAACGCAAUUCAAAUUCAACAAUAUUUUGUAAAAUAAAAACAUAAAAAAAUCAAUGCAAUCAAGAAAAAAGAAAAUAUAUUAAACAUUAUUUUUUCUUCCUAAAUUAAAUAUUGAAAGGAUAUUUUUCUCUAAUAGGUAAAUUCAACACCGUAAUUUAACAAUAAUGUCGACUUUUAUUUUUAAAACUAUUUUUUUAUUACUCCGAAUUGCAAUACAUUUUUAUAGGUCCCAAAAUUAAAUAACCAAUAAUGAAAGUAUCUUUAUUUAUUUCAAUAUCAUUAUUCUUUACUUCAUGAGAUAUGAUCAUACAUUUGAUUUAUCCCUUUAAUACAAACAAAAAUAAGUUUAAUCAUUUUUCACGAACUUAACAAAAAAUUAUCUUUAGUAAGCUAAAAUUAUUUUUUAAAAGCUCAAUAUUAUUUGGAUGGGAUAUUCCCAACUAAUAUGGUGGUUACAACAUACNNNNNNNNNNNNNNNNNNNNNNNNNNNNNNNNNNNNNNNNNNNNNNNNNNNNNNNNNNNNNNNNNNNNNNNNNNNNNNNNNNNNNNNNNNNNNNNNNNNNNNNNNNNNNNNNNNNNNNNNNNNNNNNNNNNNNNNNNNNNNNNNNNNNNNNNNNNNNNNNNNNNNNNNNNNNNNNNNNNNNNNNNNNNNNNNNNNNNNNNNNNNNNNNNNNNNNNNNNNNNNNNNNNNNNNNNNNNNNNNNNNNNNNNNNNNNNNNNNNNNNNNNNNNNNNNNNNNNNNNNNNNNNNNNNNNNNNNNNNNNNNNNNNNNNNNNNNNNNNNNNNNNNNNNNNNNNNNNNNNNNNNNNNNNNNNNNNNNNNNNNNNNNNNNNNNNNNNNNNNNNNNNNNNNNNNNNNNNNNNNNNNNNNNNNNNNNNNNNNNNNNNNNNNNNNNNNNNNNNNNNNNNNNNNNNNNNNNNNNNNNNNNNNNNNNNNNNNNNNNNNNNNNNNNNNNNNNNNNNNNNNNNNNNNNNNNNNNNNNNNNNNNNNNNNNNNNNNNNNNNNNNNNNNNNNNNNNNNNNNNNNNNNNNNNNNNNNNNNNNNNNNNNNNNNNNNNNNNNNNNNNNNNNNNNNNNNNNNNNNNNNNNNNNNNNNNNNNNNNNNNNNNNNNNNNNNNNNNNNNNNNNNNNNNNNNNNNNNNNNNNNNNNNNNNNNNNNNNNNNNNNNNNNNNNNNNNNNNNNNNNNNNNNNNNNNNNNNNNNNNNNNNNNNNNNNNNNNNNNNNNNNNNNNNNNNNNNNNNNNNNNNNNNNNNNNNNNNNNNNNNNNNNNNNNNNNNNNNNNNNNNNNNNNNNNNNNNNNNNNNNNNNNNNNNNNNNNNNNNNNNNNNNNNNNNNNNNNNNNNNNNNNNNNNNNNNNNNNNNNNNNNNNNNNNNNNNNNNNNNNNNNNNNNNNNNNNNNNNNNNNNNNNNNNNNNNNNNNNNNNNNNNNNNNNNNGUUCUUCAACCAUAAUAUGACUUCCUGGCAACUCAAUAAUAUUACAUAUUAAAACUAUAACCUAUAUUAUGGAUUCAAAAAAUUACAUAACUAAAAAAAGAAUUAGAUAGAAAGAACAAACUUGCUAUUGUCAUCUCAUUAUAACACUCAAAUAAACACUUUUGGAAGAGCUUGCUCUAUCAAGAACACAUGCAUACAAUCACAAUUUGAUUCACCUCCAAAAGCCAAUCAAUCAAUCAAAAAUGGAAGCUGCAAUUAGAAAGAAAGAUGGAAUGCAAAUAACUAAAUAUUUUAAAAAUGGAAACUUUUAAGAGAAAAACUAUAGAAUGUUACCUUAACAAUUCAAGAGACCAGUCUAAGCACAAGACAAGACAAACAAAACAAUAAAGGAUGUCAGUUUUAAUGAUCAAUAGAAUUGCAAGACUAAAAUAUUAGAAAUAAAGACAAUAAGUAGCUCAAUUCAAAGAAAUCAAGGUAAUAUACAAAAUUAAAAGGUAAUACAAAUAUUCUUCCCUCAAUAAAAUCUUGGGUCCCAACAUCAACUAGGGUAGACACAAUGGCCUUUGCAAAAUUCAUAAAAAGGGUAUAAACAAUGAUGAAAUAUUCAGGUUACAAAAACACCAAAUUCAAAAUAUUCAACUAUAAAUUACAACAAUAAAGAAAACAGCUUCAAACCCGAAGACUCUUUUACUGGCUCGAUUUUGGAUACAUCUUAGAUGCCUUCACCUACUUUUGACCUUCACCUACUUUUGAAGGUAGUGGUGUUCUAUUUUGAGCCCAUAGCCUCCGACGUUCCAUUUCCUCACAAAGGAUUCUGUCAAAAAAUACAUAACAAGAUUCAGUAAAUAAAUCUUUUGGAACAAAAACAUAUAUUUAACAAUUAUCUUUAAAAAAAGGAUUUAAAACCACAAUACUAAAUUGACACAGCUUUGCAUUGGAGAAAAAAGAAGCGAGAUUCAGAAUUAUAAACUAACAAGUUUUCAAAAGUUCAUUCUCAAUCCAAAUGUUAAGAUGCAAAAAAUUCAGGCAAAUUCCAUUCCACCAUCAGCUAUGAAUACUUGGCUCCACAAAAAAGAAUUAAAUAGAUUAUACAGAAUAUCGCUCACUUGGCUCUAUACCAAAGCCUGGAAAAAAAAGUUCAUGGCUCGAAUUUACAUCGGCCCGCAUAUGUUGUAUUAUAUUAUUUGGUGCUAUAUAUAUAUAAACACAGUUCAUCUACUGACCUAAACUUUUACCCUUUGCAUAAUGUUGGCUACACAAUACAUGACCUUUGCACAAUUAAAAUUUUUUAAAAAUAAAAUAAAUUAUCGAACUCUGCUGCAUUCACAUUCUAAAAAACUGAUAACUUAUUUUGCAUUUACAUAUGUAGCAGAAAACAAAUAAAUAAAGGUUUUCCUACCUAGCUUUGUUUUCUUUCUGGACUUUUCGUAUCUCCUCAUCUUGUUGCAAUCCCUGCCCAUAUUUUAUGUGAUUACGUGCUGAAUUAAAAUAAAAAAAAAGCAGCUGUACCAGAUGUUUGCAAAGCAAACGCAAAUAUUUAUACUUAAUGAUGGCUGUGGGACACAGUGAAUGUAUGGGCAUUGUGGAAAGUUUGAUUAAUCCCAAAGCGAUUAUAAUUGUGAAAUUUCCGUCACUUUUUGAAUAAUUUAAGUUCUAACAUACUGCUAUCCACGAUGGAAAUUGUUUAAUAUGAAUGGGUGGCCCAGUGGUAAGGGUGAAUGUAGGGUAAGAUGUAAACUCAUGUCUGGGUUUGACUCACACAUGAUGCAAAACUGUUGAACGCCAAUAUUAUAUCUUGCUGGAGGUUGCAUAUACUUGAGGGUUUAUGUCUGUUAACCGAAAAGAAAAGGAAUCCCUUUGUUCUCAUACGGUUGACCCUUUAUUAUCAUAAGGUUGACUUGAUUUUAAGUUGUUCUAUUCUGAUUAAGAGUUUCUGCUUUUGCAGCAUGAGUUGGCGACUAGAACCGUUGACAGUCAUGUGUGGGAUGAAAUUCGUAACUUCAAGAAAUGCCUUAUCAUGAUGUUUGCAAAGCAAGAGAAGGAAUUAGUGUUUCUCGAAACAGUGAUGGGUUUGGGACAACAGCGUCGCCAUUGUUUGAUUGAGUGCAUUCCUUUGCCCCAAAAAAUUGCGAAACAGGCCCCUGUCUAUUUCAAGAAGGUUAGAUUCCGUCAUUCAUUCUCUCUCUAUUGUUCUUCUGGUUCUCCUUGUCUAUAUUAUGCUUCACUUUAUUGUUAACUGUGGUUAAUUUGACUGGCCUAAGUAAAGAUGUUUUUGCUGCCCUUAACUUUGUGUAGGAUUCCCAUUUAUUGCCAAAUUAGUUGCACAUUUGUGUAAAACAAAAUUGGACGUUGGCAUGGCAUUUACAUAGCUUGCAUAAUAAAGUAAUGUCCCAUAAAGUUCAUGUUUUUGGACUGAUCUUCCCAUCCACAUGAACACCCUUUUUUGUUUGCAUGUACAUGUAUGUGCAAUUCUUUCUGUCUCAAUACAUACAGUACAAGUAUCUGAAAUGAGCUGUUUCAGGCAAUUGAUGAAGCUGAAGAUGAAUGGAGCCAGCACAAUGCAAAGAAGUUAAUUGAUACAAGUGUGAAGGGCUUGCGUGGUUCAAUUCCAAAGGACUUUCCUUACUUCCACGUUGAGUUUGGUCUAAAUAAGGGUUUCGUCCAUGUAAUUGAUGACGAAACACAGUUUGAAAGCAGCUUCGAACUAAACGUCAUAAGAGGCAUGCUUUGCCUUCCUGAGGAAGACAUGUACCGUCGUAGGAGGCAUGAAUCUGUGGAGACACAAAAGCAAGCGGUUGCAACUUUUGCGCGGGACUGGGAACCGUUUGACUGGACAAAACAACUUGAAUAGAAAACUGUGCAGUGGGUCUAAAGCAAUUCAGGACUUCAGUUUUAACUUAAAUUGAUGAACUUGGCCAAUGGUCUUUUAUAGCCCGUUGGUAACACACAUGCAUAGGCUGGAGUUUCAGCAAUAUGUUAUAUUUGUAGUGUUGUAC